rnacentral:rRNA from 1 species
GGGAAUAUUGCACAAUGGGGGAAACCCUGAUGCAGCGACGCCGCGUGAGUGAAGAAGUAUUUCGGUAUGUAAAGCUCUAUCAGCAGGAACGAGACAAGACGGUACCUGACUAAGAAGCCCCGGCUAACUACGUGCCAGCAGCCGCGGUAAUACGUAGGGGGCAAGCGUUAUCCGGAAUCACUGGGUGUAAAGGGAGCGUAGACGGCUGAGCAAGCCUGAAGUGAAAGGCGGGGGCCCAACCCCCGGACUGCUUUGGGAACUGUACGGCUGGAGUGCAGGAGAGGUAAGUGGAAUUCCUAGUGUAGCGGUGAAAUGCGUAGAUAUUAGGAGGAACACCAGUGGCGAAGGCGGCUUACUGGACUGUAACUGACGUUGAGGCUCGAAAGCGUGGGGAGCAAAC